AACGGCCAAAUGAAAGAAGAGAAGAAGAAGAAAGAAUCUCUUCUGAAACUUACGUAUAUAAUAAGGACCCCAUGAAAAAAUAAUGCAUGGCCAUAUCAAAAACUUUAGCAAUCUCUCUCUCUCUCUCUCUCUCAUGUUCUCUUUUUUUCUCUCCCCAACCUUCCCUUGUCUGCCAUAUAUACUUAAAAAGUUGAGGGGAAUGUCGUUUGGUUCGAGAUCAUUCAUGCAAGUAGUCUCAGACAUAACUCUUCUGAGUGAUUUCGGACCAGGCUUCAUUCCCCUCAGCUACCCAGCAGACACUAUUUUCUUCCUUUUAGCACAUACACAACACAACCUUUUCUUUAAGCAGUUUCCUUGUGAUGAUGUUGUGCUCUUGAACAAGUCCUCAGGCAAUUGAAGACCAAAGAAGGAUUGCAAAAAAAAGGGCUAUGCAGGACUAAUUGGUUAUUGUAUAAGCUUCCAGCAACAUUGAGUUUGUUCUUGCUUGUGUUCUGUUGGGGAACAAUCUCUUCGAUGUGUUCCAGAAUCAUAACAUCUCUUACCAGGUAGGCAAGUUACCCUUUGUGGUUUCAAAAAACUAAAACUACAGAAUGAGAAAGAGAAAGAAUGCGAGAAGAAAGGCAAGUGGAUUUGAUUUAUUCAAAGUGCUCAUUAGUUGCUGCUGUAACUGAUGUAACGAGAGGACUAUCACAAGAUUCCUCACAACUUCUUGUUGUUAUUCCACAAUAAUCACAUGGAAAAGCACACACCAUAAGACACAAAUAUCAAAGGGCAGGCUUUGUUGGGAUCACAAUCAUGAGUGAUUUCCAUCAUAAAGCUUAACCUCACCUAGUUAUUUCAAUCUAAUUCAUCUUUAGCUAAUACUGAUAUAGGUAAAUAAAUUAUUAGCCCAAUGAUUAGAUGCAACAUUGUUACUCAUCCAAUCAUUUUCGUCUGAAUCUGAUUCGUGAGUCUUCUUGUACAGUUGCACUCUAAUAUAAGUACAGAGAAAUGGUGAAAUAAUAGUAGGUGAAAAAAAUAGUAUUACAGUAAUGUAAUCCAGGAUGAGACACGACAUAGUUGCAACUUAAAUUAAAGGACAACAAAAGCUUGUGGAUCCAUUCACGGGCGUAGCUUACACCUAGGGAAAAUAUUUAUAAUUUUUUCCAAAGACUAUAGGUAUUCUUCACGGAAAACAAUAUUGUUCCAGUCGGAUAAGAACACUCUACAGUCUAGAUUGUAAAGUUCUUUUUUCAAAUAUUUAAUAGAAUUGCAUACUUAAGAUUCAGAUUUGAGACUAAUAUUUCAGCUUUAACAAUCUCACACCAUAAAUCCACGCUCUUGGUAGUAGAUUAUUUAUAGUUUACAAGCCAUAAAAAAUGUACCGAAGUCACAUGGCUGCCAUAGAAUAUGUAAUAGCUUUUAUAUGACUAGUACUAUUCAUCUAGUAGCUCAGCCUGCAUGAUUUAAUCCAGGGGCAUUUUGGAGUCUUGACAUCAUCAUUUGCAGAGAAAUUGCAGUUACAGGUAACAGGAGCAUGUAGACAAUAGAGUAUGGAUUGGGGAGUAUCACUUGUCCAUUCACUUGCACAAAAGGCGAAAAGAACAGUAUGAUUGUUCUGGCAUGUUUCACCUUUGAUGGAAAUAAACCCCCGAAGCAGAUGAAAUAAAAGGAACAGUCACAGACAGCCUUAAAAAAGAGUUCGUAGGGCCAUCCCAAUUCCCAAAGCAGACUCCAAUGUCGGUUCAUGCCAUGAUUGAUUAAUCACGGGCAGAGGUUCCAGAGAAUCAGAUUCCAGAUCAGUUACCUAAGCCACCAAGCAAAUUCCAGCUAAAAGAAACUGCAGAAAGCUUAGAUAACAAACUACAUGCUUCUUUGGCAGCUGAAAAGUUGGCAUGGACAUGCCACUGGCACCACCUAUUACGCCACCAACACCUAAACCUGCUUUUUUGCAGAUUUCCCAACAAGCAAACAUUUAACUUCCAUCCAAUUAUCAUGACUCAAUAGAGAUGUCGAACAGCAGAAAAACCUCCCUUUCAUGCCACAAUUGCGAGAUAUUAUUACAUGGUCCGGGAUUAUGUAGUCCUGAUGGAUCUUCAUGUGAUAUGCUAUUAAUUUUAUUUUUUUUAUAAAUUGAAAAAUGUGGUUAAGUGUCAUGUGAAAAUUAAUCAGCACCAUGUCUCGGUCCAUGUAAUAUGUUUUUAACAAGUGCACAGUGCAUCACUUAUUUUGUGUGUAACCAAGAGUAUCUGAAGCUUCAAUUUUGCACACAACUAAAAUGGUAUAUCUAGUUGCAACUCCAUUUUCAAGCGCAGGAUCAAACUCUACAUCUUAGUUAAAGGACACAAGGGUCGAAUUACUGCACAGUUACUCACUAUGGUCCAAGUUUAGCUCUAUCUAGUCACUUGUUGUAGCCAUGUAGGCUUUUAUAAAUUUUCUCAUUGACAAGUCUGCAAAGCAAUUGCACCUCAUUCAAAAGUCAAAACCUCAUUGUUGCUUUCCUUCCAUAAUAUCUUUAUCCAUAAACCAUAAUGUCAUGGCAGAAACCAUCCUGUAUGUGUA